UAGCCGUGCGGUAAGCACAAAUCGAACUAUUUUUUCGCCUUUUACUAAAGAAUACCGUGUGCUUGCCGUUUUAUAGGCGGCAUACGCCUAAUAGUCACUAGUAAAAAGGAGCACUAGG